GGGGAAUAUUGCACAAUGGGCGCAAGCCUGAUGCAGCCAUGCCGCGUGUGUGAAGAAGGCCUUCGGGUUGUAAAGCACUUUCAGCGAGGAGGAAGGCGUUAAGGUUAAUAACCUUAGCGAUUGACGUUACUCGCAGAAGAAGCACCGGCUAACUCCGUGCCAGCAGCCGCGGUAAUACGGAGGGUGCAAGCGUUAAUCGGAAUUACUGGGCGUAAAGCGCACGCAGGCGGUCUGUCAAGUCGGAUGUGAAAUCCCCGGGCUCAACCUGGGAACUGCAUUCGAAACUGGCAGGCUAGAGUCUUGUAGAGGGGGGUAGAAUUCCAGGUGUAGCGGUGAAAUGCGUAGAGAUCUGGAGGAAUACCGGUGGCGAAGGCGGCCCCCUGGACAAAGACUGACGCUCAGGUGCGAAAGCGUGGGGAGCAAAC
rnacentral:rRNA from 1 species